rnacentral:rRNA from 1 species
GUCCUCUUGAUUAYACUUUGAGGUCUGGCCUGCUCACUGACAAGUUUUUAAAGAGCCGCGGUAUUUUGACCGUGCAAAGGUAGCAUAAUCAUUAGUCUCUUAAUUAGGGGCUGGAAUGAAUGGCUUGACGAGAAAUUAACUGUCUCUUAUUAAAUUAUAGAAUUUAACUUUUGAGUUAAAAGGCUUAAAUUUUUCUUAAAGACGAGAAGACCCUAUAGAGCUUGACAUUUUAUUUUUAUAUAAUUUUUAGAUAAUCUUUUUAUAUUUAAAGAUAAUGUUUUGUUGGGGUGACAUGAAGAAUAAAUAAACUCUUCAUUAUAAAAUCAUUGAUUUAUGUUUAUUUUGAUCCAUAAUUUAUGAUCAUAAGAUUAAGUUACCUUAGGGAUAACAGCGUAAUUGUUUUUGAGAGCUCAUAUUGACAAAGCAGAUUGCGACCUCGAUGUUGGAUUAAGAAUAAUUUUGGGUGCAGGAGCCCAAUAAUUAGUCUGAUCGACCUUUAAAUC